CAGCAGUAGCCGCGGUAAUACGAAGGGUGCAAACGUUAAUCGGAAUUACUGGGCGUAAAGCGUGCGUAGGCGGUGAGUUAAGUCUGCUGUGAAAUCCCCGGGCUCAACCUGGGAAUGGCAGUGGAUACUGGCUCGCUAGAGUGUGUCAGAGGAUGGUGGAAUUCCCGGUGUAGCGGUGAAAUGCGUAGAGAUCGGGAGGAACACCGAUGGCGAAGGCAGCCCCCUGGGCCAAUACUGACGCUCAUGCACGAAAGCGUGGGGAGCAAACAGGAUUAGAUACCCCAGUAGUCCCUGUCUCUUAUAC
rnacentral:rRNA from 1 species